ACCUUGAUUUCAGAAGCUAUCGAAACUAUUCCGAAGUUGAUGAUUUCGUUCUAGCUAGGGCAAUAGCAGGGAAAGAGAGAAGUUCACGCUCUCCAACUAAGAAGCACUCACCUCCUAAUAGAAGAGAUAACGUAAGGAAGAAAGAAGAGAGCUAGCAUAAGCAGAGCUACCAGCUAUACUACCAUAAGAGCAGCUACUAUAAGUCCUAAAGAAAGAGCCAGUAUCUGUCCUUCACUCUUAAGGAAAGGAUAGACCUUAGCGCCUUCUCUUGAUUACAGUAAUGCUGGAAGUCUGGCUAAAGGAAGAUAGCAUAUCAUAAAGAGAUGAAAAAAGGGCAAAUGUCUUGAGAA
rnacentral:lncRNA from 1 species